rnacentral:misc_RNA from 1 species
AAACAUGUGUGUGCCAAAUGAAAAUGAUAUAAUGUAUGCUAAUGGUUUGAGGAUGAGAAGCUGUCUUUAUUUAUUUUUUGUGAUGGCUAUUAAUUUAACUUUUUUCCAUUUUCUGGGGACUGGUUGGUAAUCUGCGACAUACACCUUCGCAGUCAAGGGGCUAUUUUAGAAGACGAUAAUCGUACAUGAUCUGGACAAUGGUUGGAUGCUAAUGAAAAUCUUAAGCAAAUGCUGAAACCGUCAUUACGGCCGAAACAGGUUAUGACGAUUAUAUGGUGUACAUAAAUAGUAGAUGAUGCACUCAUUAGCCUCUGUUUAAAUAAUAUGUUUGAUAAUGAUACUUUGUAAUGGCUCAAUAAAAAGAACAUUAG